ACCCAGCAUGAGUUAUGUCAUGUUAUCGAUAUGUGAAUACAUAGCAUAUCAGAAGGCACACCCGGAGAACUGAAACAUCUUAGUACCCGGAGGAAGAGAAAGAAAAUUCGAUUCCCUUAGUAGCGGCGAGCGAAACGGGAAGAGCCCAAACCAACAAGCUUGCUUGUUGGGGUUGUAGGACACUCUAUACGGAGUUACAAAGGACGACAUUAGACGAAUCAUCUGGAAAGAUGAAUCAAAGAAGGUAAUAAUCCUGUAGUCGAAAAUGUUGUCUCUCUUGAGUGGAUCCUGAGUACGACGGAGCACGUGAAAUUCCGUCGGAAUCUGGGAGGACCAUCUCCUAAGGCUAAAUACUCUCUAGUGACCGAUAGUGAACCAGUACCGUGAGGGAAAGGUGAAAAGCACCCCGGAAGGGGAGUGAAAUAGAACCUGAAACCGUGUGCUUACAAGUAGUCAGAGCCCGUUAAUGGGUGAUGGCGUGCCUUUUGUAGAAUGAACCGGCGAGUUACGAUUUGAUGCAAGGUUAAGCAGUAAAUGUGGAGCCGUAGCGAAAGCGAGUCUGAAUAGGGCGUUUAGUAUUUGGUCGUAGACCCGAAACCAGGUGAUCUACCCUUGGUCAGGUUGAAGUUCAGGUAACACUGAAUGGAGGACCGAACCGACUUACGUUGAAAAGUGAGCGGAUGAACUGAGGGUAGCGGAGAAAUUCCAAUCGAACCUGGAGAUAGCUGGUUCUCUCCGAAAUAGCUUUAGGGCUAGCCUCAAGUGAUGAUUAUUGGAGGUAGAGCACUGUUUGGACGAGGGGCCCCUCUCGGGUUACCGAAUUCAGACAAACUCCGAAUGCCAAUUAAUUUAACUUGGGAGUCAGAACAUGGGUGAUAAGGUCCGUGUUCGAAAGGGAAACAGCCCAGACCACCAGCUAAGGUCCCAAAAUAUAUGUUAAGUGGAAAAGGAUGUGGCGUUGCCCAGACAACUAGGAUGUUGGCUUAGAAGCAGCCAUCAUUUAAAGAGUGCGUAAUAGCUCACUAGUCGAGUGACACUGCGCCGAAAAUGUACCGGGGCUAAACAUAUUACCGAAGCUGUGGAUUGUCCUUUGGACAAUGGUAGGAGAGCGUUCUAAGGGCGUUGAAGCAUGAUCGUAAGGACAUGUGGAGCGCUUAGAAGUGAGAAUGCCGGUGUGAGUAGCGAAAGACGGGUGAGAAUCCCGUCCACCGAUUGACUAAGGUUUCCAGAGGAAGGCUCGUCCGCUCUGGGUUAGUCGGGUCCUAAGCUGAGGCCGACAGGCGUAGGCGAUGGAUAACAGGUUGAUAUUCCUGUACCACCUAUAAUCGUUUUAAUCGAUGGGGGGACGCAGUAGGAUAGGCGAAGCGUGCGAUUGGAUUGCACGUCUAAGCAGUAAGGCUGAGUAUUAGGCAAA
rnacentral:rRNA from 1 species